GUGGGCUGGAGGCACAGGGCUGAGUAGGCUGUCUGUGGUCCCUCACUGUACCUGUCUCGGUAG
rnacentral:miRNA from 1 species